rnacentral:rRNA from 1 species
UGGGGAAUAUUGGACAAUGGGCGAAAGCCUGAUCCAGCCAUGCCGCGUGUGUGAAGAAGGUCUUCGGAUUGUAAAGCACUUUAAGUUGGGAGGAAGGGCAGUAAGCGAAUACCUUGCUGUUUUGACGUUACCGACAGAAUAAGCACCGGCUAACUCUGUGCCAGCAGCCGCGGUAAUACAGAGGGUGCAAGCGUUAAUCGGAAUUACUGGGCGUAAAGCGCGCGUAGGUGGUUCGUUAAGUUGAAUGUGAAAGCCCCGGGCUCAACCUGGGAACUGCAUCCAAAACUGGCGAGCUAGAGUAGGGCAGAGGGUGGUGGAAUUUCCUGUGUAGCGGUGAAAUGCGUAGAUAUAGGAAGGAACACCAGUGGCGAAGGCGACCACCUGGGCUCAUACUGACACUGAGGUGCGUAAGCGUGGGGAGCAAACAGG